CCGACCUUGAUCUUUUGAGAAGGGUUCGAGUCAGAGCAUGUCUGUCGGGACCCGAAAGAUGGUGAACUAUGCCUGAGCGGGGCGAAGCCAGAGGAAACUUUGGUGGAGGCCCGCAACGAUAUUAACGUGCAAAUCGUUCGUCUGACUUGGGUAUAGGGGCGAAAGACUAAUCGAGCUGUCUAGUAGCUGGUUCCUUCCGAAGUUUCCCUCAGGAUAGCUGGAGCCCGUGAACGAGUUUUAUCAGGUAAAGCCAAUGAUUAUAGGCAUCGGGGGCGCAACGCACAUGACCUAUUCUCAAACUUUAAAUAGGUAGGACGGCUCAGUUGCUUUGUUGAGCCACGCCAUAGAAUCGAGAGUUCCAAGUGGGCCAUUUUUGGUAAGCAGAACUGGCGAUGUUAGAUGAACCGGAAGCCAGGUUAUGGUGCCUAACUGCACACUAACCUAGAACCCACAAAGGAUGUUGUUCGAUUAAGACAGUAGGCAGGUGGUCAUGGAAGUCAAAAUCAGUUAAAGAGUGUGUAACAACUCACCUACCGAAUCAACUAGUCUCAAAAAUAGAUGGCGCUUAAGAGCACGACCUAUACCCGGCCGUCGAGUCAAGUGCCAAGCCCCGAUGAGUAGGAGGGUGCGGCAGUUGCUACAAAACCUCAGGCGCGAGCAUGGGCGGAGCGGCCGUCGAUGCAGAU
rnacentral:rRNA from 1 species